rnacentral:rRNA from 1 species
GAUCAUUACCGAGUGUAGGGUUCCUAGCGAGCCCAACCUCCCACCCGUGUUUACUGUACCUUAGUUGCUUCGGCGGGCCCGCCAUUCAUGGCCGCCGGGGGCUCUCAGCCCCGGGCCCGCGCCCGCCGGAGACACCACGAACUCUGUCUGAUCUAGUGAAGUCUGAGUUGAUUGUAUCGCAAUCAGUUAAAACUUUCAACAAUGGAUCUCUUGGUUCCGGCAUCGAUGAAGAACGCAGCGAAAUGCGAUAACUAGUGUGAAUUGCAGAAUUCCGUGAAUCAUCGAGUCUUUGAACGCACAUUGCGCCCCCUGGUAUUCCGGGGGGCAUGCCUGUCCGAGCGUCAUUGCUGCCCAUCAAGCACGGCUUGUGUGUUGGGUCGUCGUCCCCUCUCCGGGGGGGACGGGCCCCAAAGGCAGCGGCGGCACCGCGUCCGAUCCUCGAGCGUAUGGGGCUUUGUCACCCGCUCUGUAGGCCCGGCCGGCGCUUGCCGAACGCAAAUCAUCUUUUUCCAGGUUGACCUCGGAUCAGGUAGGGAUACCCGCUGAACUUAAGCAUAU